rnacentral:rRNA from 1 species
AUUGAACGCUGGCGGCAUGCCUUACACAUGCAAGUCGAACGGCAGCGGGGACUUCGGUCCGCCGGCGAGUGGCGAACGGGUGAGUAAUGUAUCGGAACGUACCAUUGAGUGGGGGAUAACUAUCCGAAAGGAUAGCUAAUACCGCAUAUUCUCUCCGGAGGAAAGCAGGGGACCGCGAGGCCUUGCGCUCAUUGAGCGGCCGAUAUCAGAUUAGCUAGUUGGUGAGGUAAAGGCUCACCAAGGCGACGAUCUGUAGCGGGUCUGAGAGGAUGAUCCGCCACACUGGAGCUGAGACACGGUCCAGACUCCUACGGGAGGCAGCAGUGGGGAAUUUUGGACAAUGGGCGAAAGCCUGAUCCAGCCAUUCCGCGUGCAGGAUGAAGGCCCUCGGGUUGUAAACUGCUUUUGUACAGAACGAAAAGGUCUCUAUUAAUACUAGGGGCUCAUGACGGUACUGUAAGAAUAAGCACCGGCUAACUUCGUGCCAGCCGCCGCCGUAAGAC